rnacentral:rRNA from 1 species
AUUGAACGCUGGCGGCAGGCCUAACACAUGCAAGUCGAGCGGAGCGGCGGUCGGGUGAGUAAUGCCUGGGCAUCUGCCUGGUAGUGGGGGAUCACGUCCGGCAACGGGCGCUAAUACCGCAUACUAUCAGAUUAGCUUAGGUCGGUUUCGUUAGUGGGUGGGGUAAAGGCCUACCAGGGCGACGAUCCGUAACUGGUCUGAGAGGAUGAUCAGUAACACUGGAACUGGAACACGGUCCAGACUCCUACGGGGGGCGGCGGUGGGGAAUAUUAGAAAAUGGGCGAAAGCCUGAUCCAGCCCUGCCGCGUGUGUGAAGAGGGUCUUCGGAUUGUAAGGCACGUUAAGUUGGAAGGCGUUACCAGCAGAGUAAGCACCGGCUAACUACGUGCCAGCAGCCGCGGUAAUUC